rnacentral:tRNA from 1 species
GGGAAUGUGGCUUAGUGGUAAAGUGCUUGCCUAGCAUGCAUGAAGCCCUGGGUUCGAUUCCUCAGAACCA